rnacentral:rRNA from 1 species
CUGGCCGUAAACGAUGGAUACUAGGCGUAUCGGGUAUCGACCCCUGAUGUGCCGCAGCUAACGCGAUAAGUAUCCCGCCUGAGUAGUACGGCCGCAAGGUUGAAACUCAAAGGAAUUGACGGGGGCCCGCACAAGCGGUG